rnacentral:rRNA from 1 species
UACGUAGGGGGCGAGCGUUGUCCGGAAUCAUUGGGCGUAAAGAGCGUGUAGGCGGCUUGGCAAGUCUGACGUGAAAUCCCGCGGCUCAACCGCGGUAGGUCGUUGGAAACUGCCAGGCUAGAGUCCGGAAGAGGAGAGCGGAAUUCCUGGUGUAGCGGUGGAAUGCGCAGAUAUCAGGAAGAACACCCGUGGCGAAGGCGGCUCUCUGGGACGGUACUGACGCUGAGACGCGAAAGCGUGGGGAGCGAACAGG